CCCCUAGUCCCACUAGUCUAUCCUCCCAGCCUCUCAGACUGAAUCUCCUAGUCCCACUAGACUAUCCUUCCAGCCUCCCAGACUGAAUCUUCUAGUCCCACUAGACCAUCCUUCCAGCCUCUCAGACUGAAUCUCCUAGUCCCACUAGACUAUCCUUCCAGCCUCCCAGACUGAAUCUCCUAGUCCCACUAGACUAUCCUUCCAGCCUCUCAGACUGAAUCUCCUAGUCCCACUAGACUAUCCUUCCAGCCUCCCAGACUGAAUCUCCUAGUCCCACUAGACUAUCCUUCCAGCCCCUCAGACUGAAUCUCCUAGUCCCACUAGACUAUCCUUCCAGCCUCCCAGACUGAAUCUCCUAGUCCCACUAGACUAUCCUUCCAGCCUCUCAGACUGAAUCUCCUAGUCCCACUAGACUAUCCUUCCAGCCCCUCAGACUGAAUCUCCUAGUCCCACUAGACUAUCCUUCCAGCCUCCCAGACUGAAUCUCCUAGUCCCACUAGACUAUCCUUCCAGCCUCUCAGACUGAAUCUCCUAGUCCCACUAGACUAUCCUUCCAGCCUCUCAGACUGAAUCUCCUAGUCCCACUAGACUAUCCUUCCAGCCUCCCAGACUGAAUCUCCUAGUCCCACUAGACUAUCCUUCCAGCCUCUCAGACUG
rnacentral:lncRNA from 1 species